UACAGAGGGGGCAAGCGUUGUUCGGAAUUACUGGGCGUAAAGGGCGCGUAGGCGGCCCGCUAAGUCGAACGUGAAAUCCCCGAGCUCAACUCGGGAACUGCGUCCGAUACUGGCGGGCUUGAAUCCGGGAGAGGGAUGCGGAAUUCCAGGUGUAGCGGUGAAAUGCGUAGAUAUCAGGAGGAACACCGAUGGCGAAGGCAGGUCUCUGGGCCAUAACUGACGCUGAGAAGCGAAAGCAUGGGGAGCGAACAGG
rnacentral:rRNA from 1 species